rnacentral:tRNA from 1 species
CUGGCAAGAUGGCCGAGUGGUUAAGGCGGCACGUGAGUACCCACGUCACCAUUUGACAUACCCAGGUAUAUUUACUAACAAUCAAUAGGUUUAGGUGUUAUAUACAUCAUACAUGUAUAUAUAACACGACCCGUGCUCCGCAAGGGCGUGGGUUCGAAUCCCACUCUUGUCAU